UACGAAGGGGGCUAGCGUUGCUCGGAAUCACUGGGCGUAAAGGGCACGUAGGCGGCUUUUUAAGUCAGGGGUGAAAUCCUGGAGCUCAACUCCAGAACUGCCUUUGAUACUGGAGAGCUUGAGUUCGGGAGAGGUGAGUGGAACUGCGAGUGUAGAGGUGAAAUUCGUAGAUAUUCGCAAGAACACCAGUGGCGAAGGCGGCUCACUGGCCCGAUACUGACGCUGAGGUGCGAAAGCGUGGGGAGCAAACAGG
rnacentral:rRNA from 1 species